rnacentral:rRNA from 1 species
GACGAACGCUGGCGGCGUGCUUAACACAUGCAAGUCGAACGGAAAGGCCCUGCUUUUGUGGGGUGCUCGAGUGGCGAACGGGUGAGUAACACGUGAGUAACCUGCCCUUGACUUUGGGAUAACUUCAGGAAACUGGGGCUAAUACCGGAUAGGAGCUCCUGCUGCAUGGUGGGGGUUGGAAAGUUUCGGCGGUUGGGGAUGGACUCGCGGCUUAUCAGCUUGUUGGUGGGGUAGUGGCUUACCAAGGCUUUGACGGGUAGCCGGCCUGAGAGGGUGACCGGCCACAUUGGGACUGAGAUACGGCCCAGACGCAUACGGGAGGCAGCAGUGGGGAAUAUUGCACAAUGGGCGGAAGCCUGAUGCAGCAACGCCGCGUGCGGGAUGACGGCCUUCGGGUUGUAAACCGCUUUCGCCUGUGACGAAGCGUGAGUGACGGUAAUGGGUAAAGAAGCACCGGCUAACUACG